GAUGAACGCUGGCGGCGUGCCUAAUACAUGCAAGUCGAGCGAACAGACGAGGAGCUUGCUCCUCUGACGUUAGCGGCGGACGGGUGAGUAACACGUGGAUAACCUACUUAUAAGACUGGGAUAACUUCGGGAAACCGGAGCUAAUACCGGAUAAUAUAUUGAACCGCAUGGUUCAAUAGUGAAAGACGGUUUUGCUGUCACUUAUAGAUGGAUCCGCGCCGCAUUAGCUAGUUGGUAAGGUAACGGCUUACCAAGGCGACGAUGCGUAGCCGACCUGAGAGGGUGAUCAGCCACACUGGAACUGAGACACGGUCCAGACUCCUACGGGAGGCAGCAGUAGGGAAUCUUCCGCAAUGGGCGAAAGCCUGACGGAGCAACGCCGCGUGAGUGAUGAAGGUCUUCGGAUCGUAAAACUCUGUUAUUAGGGAAGAACAAAUGUGUAAGUAACUAUGCACGUCUUGACGGUACCUAAUCAGAAAGCCACGGCUAACUACGUG
rnacentral:rRNA from 1 species